CCAGACUCCUACGGGAGGCAGCAGUGGGGAAUAUUGGACAAUGGGGGGAACCCUGAUCCAGCGACGCCGCGUGAGUGAAGAAGUAUUUCGGUAUGUAAAGCUCUAUCAGCAGGGAAGAAAGAAAUGACGGUACCUGACUAAGAAGCCCCGGCUAACUACGUGCCAGCAGCCGCGGUAAUACGUAGGGGGCAAGCGUUAUCCGGAUUUACUGGGCGUAAAGGGAACGUAGACGGCUGUGUAAGCCAGAUGUGAAAGCCCGGGGCUCAACCCCGGGACUGCAUUUGGAACUGCGUGGCUUGAGUGUCGGAGAGGCAGGCGGAAUUCCUAGUGUAGCGGUGAAAUGCGUAGAUAUUAGGAGGAACACCAGUGGCGAAGGCGGCCUGCUGGACGAUGACUGACGUUGAGGCUCGAAAGCGUGGGGAGCAAACAGGAUUAGAUACCCGUGUA
rnacentral:rRNA from 1 species